ACAGAAUAGGUGGGGUGUUUGCAGAGGAAGCUUUCCCACACUGCCCUGAAAAUGUGCUUCAGCCCUGCACUGGAGGGACCAUCUCUACA
rnacentral:sRNA from 1 species